rnacentral:rRNA from 1 species
CUUGAGGCGUGGCUUCCGGAGCUAACGCGUUAAAUCGACCCCCUGGGGAGUACGGCCGCAAGGUUAAAACUCAAAUGAAUUGACGGGGGCCCGCACAAGCGGUGGAGCAUGUGGUUUAAUUCGAUGCAACGCGAAGAACCUUACCUGGUCUUGACAUCCACAGAACUUACCAGAGAUGCUUUGGUGCCUUCGGGAACUGUGAGACAGGUGCUGCAUGGCUGUCGUCAGCUCGUGUUGUGAAAUGUUGGGUUAAGUCCCGCAACGAGCGCAACCCUUAUCCUUUGUUGCCAGCGGUUAGGCCGGGAACUCAAAGGAGACUGCCAGUGAUAAACUGGAGGAAGGUGGGGAUGACGUCAAGUCAUCAUGGCCCUUACGACCAGGGCUACACACGUGCUACAAUGGCGCAUACAAAGAGAAGCGACCUCGCGAGAGCAAGCGGACCUCAUAAAGUGCGUCGUAGUCCGGAUUGGAGUCUGCAACUCGACUCCAUGAAGUCGGAAUCGCUAGUAAUCGUAGAUCAGAAUGCUACGGUGAAUACGUUCCCGGGCCUUGUACACACCGCCCGUCACACCAUGGGAGUGGGUUGCAAAAGAAGUAGGUAGCUUAACCUUCGGGAGGGCGCUUACCACUUUGUGAUUCAUGACUGGGGUGAAGUC